GCUGGGCACGGUGGUGCAUGCUUGUAAUCCCAACCCUGUGGGAGGCUGAGGCAGGAGGAUUGCAAGUUCUAGGCCAGCCUCAGCAACUUAGCGAGGCCCUAUGCAACUUAGUGAGAACCUGUCUCAA
rnacentral:sRNA from 1 species